GUGGCGGACGGGUGAGUAACGCGUAAAGAACUUGCCUUACAGACUGGGACAACAUUUGGAAACGAAUGCUAAUACCGGAUAUUAUGACUGAGUCGCAUGAUUUGGUUAUGAAAGCUAUAUGCGCUGUGAGAGAGCUUUGCGUCCCAUUAGUUAGUUGGUGAGGUAACGGCUCACCAAGACGAUGAUGGGUAGCCGGCCUGAGAGGGUGAACGGCCACAAGGGGACUGAGACACGGCCCUUACUCCUACGGGAGGCAGCAGUGGGGAAUAUUGGACAAUGGACCAAAAGUCUGAUCCAGCAAUUCUGUGUGCACGAUGAAGUUUUUCGGAAUGUAAAGUGCUUUCAGUUGGGAAGAAGUCAGUGACGGUACCAACAGAAGAAGCGACGGCUAAAUACGUGCCAGCAGCCGCGGUAAUACGUAUGUCGCAAGCGUUAUCCGGAUUUAUUGGGCGUAAAGCGCGUCUAGGCGGUUUAGUAAGUCUGAUGUGAAAAUGCGGGGCUCAACCCCCGUAUUGCGUUGGAAACUGUUAAACUAGAGUACUGGAGAGGUAGGCGGAACUACAAGUGUAGAGGUGAAAUUCGUAGAUAUUUGUAGGAAUGCCGAUGGGGAAGCCAGCCUACUGGACAGAUACUGACGCUAAAGCGCGAAAGCGUGGGUAGCAAACAGGAUUAGAUACCCUGGUAGUCCACGCCGUAAACGAUGAUUACUAGGUGUUGGGGGUCGAACCUCAGCGCCCAAGCUAACGCGAUAAGUAAUCCGCCUGGGGAGUACGUACGCAAGUAUGAAACUCAAAAGGAAUUGACGGGGGACCCGCACAAGCGGUGGAGCAUGUGGUUUUAAUUCGACGCAACGCGAGGAACCUUACCAGCGUUUGACAUCCCAAGAAGUUAACAGAGAUGUUUUCGUGCCUCUUCGGAGGAACUUGGUGACAGGUGGUGCAUGGCUGUCGUCAGCUCGUGUCGUGAGAUGUUGGGUUAAGUCCCGCAACGAGCGCAACCCCUUUCGUAUGUUACCAUCAUUAAGUUGGGGACUCAUGCGAGACUGCCUGCGAUGAGCAGGAGGAAGGUGGGGAUGACGUCAAGUCAUCAUGCCCCUUAUACGCUGGGCUACACACGUGCUACAAUGGGUAGUACAGAGAGCUGCAAACCUGCGAGGGUAAGCUAAUCUCAUAAAACUAUUCUUAGUUCGGAUUGUACUCUGCAACUCGAGUACAUGAAGUUGGAAUCGCUAGUAAUCGCAAAUCAGCUAUGUUGCGGUGAAUACGUUCUCGGGUCUUGUACACACCGCCCGUCACACCACGAGAGUUGGUUGCACCUGAAGUAACAGGCCUAACCCGUAAGGAGGGAUNUCCGAGGGUGUGG
rnacentral:rRNA from 1 species